GAUGAAGAACGUAGCGAAAUGCGAUAAGUAAUGUGAAUUGCAGAAUUCAGUGAAUCAUCGAAUCUUUGAACGCACCUUGCGCCUUUUGGUAUUCCGAAAGGCACACCUGCUUGAGCGUCAUGAAUACCUCAAUCUCCAUCUUUUCUUCGGAUUGAUGGGUGACUUGGAUGUUGAGCCCUGCUGGUAUGCUAUAUCAGCUGGCUUUAAACUUAUUAGCCGGCUCUGUACUGGAUCGGUUUGACUCGACGUGAUAAUAUUAUCGUUGAGGAUGCAUGUCUCAUGCAGCCGGAAAGUAUCAAAGCAGCUUCUAGCUUGCCUUUAGUGCACUUUUACAUUUUAGACCUCAGAUCAGGUGGGACUACCCGCUGAACUUAAGCAUAUCAAUAAGCGGAGGA
rnacentral:misc_RNA from 1 species